AUGUCGUUUCGUAGCAUAGCUCGUGAUGUUAGGGAUGGUUUCGGUAGCUUGUCGAGACGGAGCUUUGAUGUGACAAUCGCAAGCCUUUACGGUCUUACUGGGCACCACAAGGGGAAGGCUCAGAGCUCACUGGAUGACUUCCUCGAUCCAGCUCCUGUAAUUCAAGAGAGCCGGUGGGCAAGUCUUCCUCCUGAGCUCCUCCAAGAUAUCAUAAGGAGACUGGAGGCUGAUGAGAGUACCUGGCCAUCCAGGAAGCAUGUCGUCUGCUUCGCGGCUGUUUGUAAGACAUGGAGGGAAAUGUGCAAAGAGAUUGUGCUGAGCCCUGAGUUCUCUGGGAAGCUUACGUUCCGAGUCUCUCUAAAGCAGCCUGGUCCUCGAGAUGGAAUGAUUCAAUGUUUUAUAAAGAGGAACAAAUCAAAAUCCACCUAUCAGCUCUACCUGUGCCUUACCAAUGUUGUUACUGCAGAAACUGGCAAGUUCCUCUUAUCUGCUAAACGGAACCGCAAGACAUCUUGCACAGAGUAUGCCAUCUCAAUGGACUCUGCCAACACCUCAAGAUCGAACAGAACCUACAUUGGAAAGCUGAGGUCAAACUUCCUCGGCACAAAGUUUUUAAUCUACGACACGCAGCCCCCGUACAACGGGGCCGUAGUCCCACCUGUUGGAAGGAGCAGCAGAAGGUUCAACUCAACAAGGGUCUCUCCGAAGGUGCCUGCCGUCAGUUACAACAUAGCCCAGGUGACAUACGAGCUGAAUGUUCUUGGCACGAGAGGGCCUAGGCGGAUGCGCUGCAUCAUGCACUCCAUACCGGCCUCCUCGGUCGAGCCCGGCGGCGUCGUCCCCGGCCAGCCGGAGCAGAUCGUGCCUCGAGCCCUGGGGGACUCGUUCCGCAGCAUCACGUCCUUCUCCCAGUCGUUCCGCAGCAGCGCCACCUUCUCCAGGUCCAUCAUGGACCAGUCCAUGGACUUCAACAGCGCGCGCUUCUCCGAGAUCAGCGGCGGCGGGAUGACGGACGGCGACGGCGAGGGCGAGGUCAAGGAGCGGCCGCUGGUGCUCCGCAACAAGCCCCCGAGGUGGCACGAGCAGCUGCAGUGCUGGUGCCUCAACUUCCGCGGCCGCGUGACCAUCGCCUCGGUGAAGAACUUCCAGCUCACCGCCGCGUCGAACCCGCCGCCGGCGGGCGCCCCGACGCCCUCGCAGCCCGGCCCGGUCGACCCGGAGAAGGUCAUCCUGCAGUUUGGGAAGGUCGCGAGGGACAUGUUCACCAUGGACUACCGCUACCCUCUGUCGGCGUUCCAGGCGUUCGCCAUCUGCCUCAGUAGCUUCGACACGAAACUGGCCUGUGAAUAA
rnacentral:rRNA from 1 species